rnacentral:misc_RNA from 1 species
GAAAUGCGAUAAGUAAUGUCAAUUGCAGAAUUCAGUGAAUCAUCGAAUCUUAGAACGCACAUUGCGCCCGCCAGCACUCUGGCGGGCAUGCCUGUUCGAGCGUCAUUUCAACCCUCAGAACCCCUUGCGGGAUCUGGCGUUGGGGAUUGGCAUCCAGCCAGCCCCGAAAUCUAGUGGCGGUCCCUCCGCGACCUCCCCUGUGCAGUAGCGAUACCUCGCAGCGGGACAGCGGUCUGACCACGCCGUAAAACCCCCAACUUCUCAAGGUUGACCUCGAAUCAGGUAGGAAUACCCGCUGAACUUAAGC